rnacentral:lncRNA from 1 species
AACAAAGUUGGCUACCAAACCAAAGAAAUUCAACAAGGUUGGCUACCAAACCAAACUAAUUCAACAAGGUUGGCUACCAACCAAACCAAGUCAACAAGGUUGGCUACCAAACCAAAGAAAACUCUUAUUAGGCACAUGCCCAAUACUUCUUCAAUGAGAUGGACAUCAUCAAUCUCCCCCUCCAGUCUCAUUCAUCCAGAGGAGGUAGCACUGUCUUCUAGUUUGAGUGCAUGCCGACAAGUUCUUUGCAUAGCUCGAACUUGUUCCUUGGUACCACCUUGGUCAGCAUAUCUGCGGGAUUCUCAUUUGUAGAAAUCUUCAAGACUUUUAGAGAUUCAUCAUCUACCAUUUCUCGAAUCCGAUGAUAUCUCACAUUAAUGUGUUUGGUCCUUGCAUGGUACAUAGAGUUCUUGCUAAGGUCUAUUGCACUUUGACUGUCACAAUAGACGACAUACUCCUUCUGAUGCAAUCCAAGCUCUUGAAGGAAUCGCUUGAGCCAUAUCAUCUCCUUGCCAGUUUCUAUAGCGGCAAUGUACUCUGCUUCAGUUGUUGAAAGUGCAACGCACUUAUGCAACUUAGACUGCCAUGAUAUAGCUCCCCCUGAAAAUGUAAACAAAUAUCCAGUAGUGGAUUUUCUGUUGUCAAUGUCACCCGCCAUAUCAGCAUCUGUAUAGCCCUUCAAGAUUGGAUCAGAUCCUCCAAAGCACAAACAAUCUCCCGUGGUACCUCUCAGGUACCUGAGUAUCCACUUGACUGCUUCCCAAUGUUCCUUUCCAGGAUUUUCAAGAAACCUGCUGACAACACCAACUGCGUGAGCAAUAUCAGGUCUAGUACAUACCAUUGCAUAUAUCAAGCUUCCGACUGCUGAAGAAUAAGGAACUUUAGCCAUGUUCCCUUUCUCCUCCACUUUUGUAGGACAAAUCUUCUUACUCAACUUUAGAUGACCAGCAAGAGGUGUGCUGACUGGCUUAGCAUUCUUCAUGUUGAAGCGUUCUAGUACACGUUCAAUGUACUUCUCCUGAGAUAGCCACAACUUUCUACUUGUUCUCUCUCGAACUAUCUUCAUCCCUAGAAUUUGUUGUGCUGGUCCCAAGUCCUUCAUAUCAAAUGACUUGGACAGAUCUCCUUGCAACUUUGCU